GAUUGCAAGGCACCCUGAGCUCCUGGAAACUCUAGGAGGGGAACGGCUAUCCCCUUCCCCCAAGGUGGAGCUGACAGCCACUGCCUGUGCCUUGUCGUCUGCCCGGCAGGCCAGCACUCCAUGGCUGGGAGCAACCUGCAGUGCCCCAUGGGCUUUGCCCCAACAGCACCUGCAGUCGGCUCCCAGAACUCACAGACAGCG
rnacentral:lncRNA from 1 species